rnacentral:rRNA from 1 species
UACGUAGGGCGCAAGCGUUGUCCGGAAUUAUUGGGCGUGAAGAGCUCGUAGGCGGUUUGUCGCGUCUGUCGUGAAAGCUUGGGGCUUAACCCCAAGUCUGCGGUGGAUACGGGCAGACUAGAGGCAGGUAGGGGAGAACGGAAUUCCCGGUGUAGCGGUGAAAUGCGCAGAUAUCGGGAGGAACACCGGUGGCGAAGGCGGUUCUCUGGGCCUGUACUGACGCUGAGGAGCGAAAGCGUGGGGAGCGAACAGG